rnacentral:rRNA from 1 species
UGAGGAAUCUUGCGCAAUGGGGGCAACCCUGACGCAGCAACGCCGCGUGAGUGAGGAAGGUCUUCGGAUCGUAAAGCUCUGUCGGAUGGAAAGAACCGCAUAGGGGCAAACAGCCCCUGUGUCUGACGGUACCGUCAAAGGAAGCACCGGCUAACUCCGUGCCAGCAGCCGCGGUAAUACGGGGGGUGCAAGCGUUGUUCGGAAUUAUUGGGCGUAAAGAGCGUGUAGGCGGCCGGAUAUGUCAGAUGUGAAAGCCCUGGGCUUAACCCAGGAAGUGCAUUUGAAACUGUCCGGCUCGAGUAGGGGAGAGGGAAGUGGAAUUCCUGGCGUAGAGGUGAAAUUCGUAGAUAUCAGGAGGAACACCGGUGGCGAAGGCGACUUCCUGGCCCUAUACUGACGCUGAGACGCGAGAGCGUGGGUAGCAAACAG